rnacentral:rRNA from 1 species
GACAGAGGGUGCAAACGUUGUUCGGAAUUACUGGGCGUAAAGAGCGUGUAGGCGGCCGCGGUAAGUCCGCUGUGAAAGUCGGGGGCUCAACCCUCGAAUGCCGGUGGAUACUGUCGGGCUAGAGUGCGGAAGAGGCGGGUGGAAUUCCUGGUGUAGCGGUGAAAUGCGCAGAUAUCAGGAGGAACACCAAUUGCGAAGGCAGCUCGCUGGGACGUAACUGACGCUGAGACGCGAAAGCGUGGGGAGCAAACAGG